rnacentral:rRNA from 1 species
CUCCCUGAUGUUAGCGGCGGACGGGUGAGUAACACGUGGGUAACCUGCCUGUAAGACUGGGAUAACUCCGGGAAACCGGGGCUAAUACCGGAUGGUUGUUUGAACCGCAUGGUUCAAACAUAAAAGGUGGCUUCGGCUACCACUUACAGAUGGACCCGCGGCGCAUUAGCUAGUUGGUGAGGUAACGGCUCACCAAGGCGACGAUGCGUAGCCGACCUGAGAGGGUGAUCGGCCACACUGGGACUGAGACACGGCCCAGACUCCUACGGGAGGCAGCAGUAGGGAAUCUUCCGCAAUGGACGAAAGUCUGACGGAGCAACGCCGCGUGAGUGAUGAAGGUUUUCGGAUCGUAAAGCUCUGUUGUUAGGGAAGAACAAGUACCGUUCGAAUAGGGCGGUACCUUGACGGUACCUAACCAGAAAGCCACGGCUAACUACGUGCCAGCAGCCGCGGUAAUACGUAGGUGGCAAGCGUUGUCCGGAAUUAUUGGGCGUAAAGGGCUCGCAGGCGGUUUCUUAAGUCUGAUGUGAAAGCCCCCG